CCUACGGGAGGCUGCAGUGGGGAAUAUUGGACAAUGGGCGCAAGCCUGAUCCAGCCAUACCGCGUGGGUGAAGAAGGCCUUCGGGUUGUAAAGCCCUUUUGUUGGGAAAGAAAUCCUGUCGAUUAAUACUCGGUGGGGAUGACGGUACCCAAAGAAUAAGCACCGGCUAACUUCGUGCCAGCAGCCGCGGUAAUACGAAGGGUGCAAGCGUUACUCGGAAUUACUGGGCGUAAAGCUUUAAGUCGGCUGUGAAAGCCCUGGGCUCAACCUGGGAAUUGCAGUGGAUACUGGAUCACUAGAGUGUGGUAGAGGGAUGCGGAAUUUCUGGUGUAGCAGUGAAAUGCGUAGAGAUCAGAAGGAACAUCCGUGGCGAAGGCGGCAUCCUGGGCCAACACUGACACUGAGGCACGAAAGCGUGGGGAGCAAACAGGAUUAGAUACCCCAGUAGUC
rnacentral:rRNA from 1 species